GGAGAGAGGCAGAGCGCGGUUCCUGGGAAAACACAGCUGCGGCUUUUCUCUGUGGGACCCCUGGGGCUCAGGUCUCAAGGUCGGCUGCUCAGGAAACUAAGCUCUUAAGUGGAGUGUGACUUGCUUAAGGUCAUGUAACCAUGUGCUCAGUGACAUAACGAAGCACCUACUCUGCCAGGCAGGACAGGAGAGAUCCCUGGUCUCAAACGGCCCCCAUCCUGUAGAGACAAACCAGAUGAGCCAACGGUACAACAGAGCAGGGCUGGGUGUCCACUCACAUAGGUCAGCUCCGGAGUGUACACGGACACAGCUGGACUACGGUCACCCACAGUAAACAUCCCAGACAGGGACCGUCAGGAAAGCCCUGGGGACCCGCCCUCCCAUCUCCACACAGCCACCUGCAGUGUGAGCCUCUGAGGUGCAGAAGCUGUCGAAAGGCGGUGAAAGGGGAAGUCGGAAGAGAGGCACCUGCCCCAGCGGGGCUCCUGCCUUUGGAUCUGGAUUCAGAGGGAUGGAGAAGACGGACGGACGGAGCUAGCAUGGGAGGCAGAAGGCUGGAGCCUCCCUCCAGGCAGAAGCUGCAUGGAGCUGGCAAAUGGGCUAGAACAGCCAUUGGACAGCUCCAAGGCAGCCGCUCCCACCUGUCACCUUGUCUGCUGUCCAGGGUGCUGCCGGCUCUUAGGCCAGAUGGGAGUUAAGGAUUUGGACGAACUCCCCUGUUCUGCAACUCGCAGAAGCAAGGCCCAGGCUCCCUUUCAAGCUUUGCUCUCCCCGUGCCCGCCCCUCACACACACCUGCAAACAAAGUGCCUUUCAAUUGCCCAGCCUUCAGGCGACCCAACAUUUUUAUUCAUCUAUUUACAAACGUUUUAUUGAACAUCUACUAUGAUCUCCCUCGGCAGCACAUAGCAAGAAACCAAACAGCUUGCUUGGCCAACUAGAGUGCAGUGUCCCAACCCUGGGCCCACAACUCCAGGAAAAAGGAAGAGAAGGAAGGGAGGCUGGCUUUGAUCCCAGUUUUCCCCCUAGGUCAUCUGCCCUUGAUAAUGUAAAGCUAGGUUUCCCCUUCUGCGGCAGGGCACCCACCAUCCUACCCAGCGGAGCCCUUGCUGCUGUCCUUGUUAAUUACAGCAGACACCUAUUCUAAGUGUCGGGCACGGCUUCAUGCGUUUAACCUUCACCCCAGCCUCCGCACAUGGGCAUUGCUAACACAGCUUUGCCUUUCCUCUGACAAAGCGCUGGUAAGCAGCAGUGGUGGGAUUUGAACCCAGUCAUUCUGGCUUUGGGCUGGUGAGU